rnacentral:tRNA from 1 species
GCCUGGGUGGCUCAGUCGGUUGAGCUUCUGACUUCGGCUCAGGUCAUGAUCUCACUGUGGGUGAGUUCGAGCCCCGCGUCGGGCU